rnacentral:rRNA from 1 species
AACGUAGGGUGCAAGCGUUGUCCGGAAUUACUGGGUGUAAAGGGAGCGCAGGCGGACUGUCAAGUUGGGAGUGAAAACUACGGGCUCAACCCGUAACUUGCUUUCAAAACUGGCGGUCUUGAGUGGUGUAGAGGUAGGCGGAAUUCCCGGUGUAGCGGUGGAAUGCGUAGAUAUCGGGAGGAACACCAGUGGCGAAGGCGGCCUACUGGGCACUAACUGACGCUGAGGCUCGAAAGCAUGGGUAGCAAACAGG